ACAGUUCUUUCCAGCUAGGUCUCACUCAAAUGCCACCAAAUUGGAAAUAAUGAUGAAAACUGGGGCACCACCGACCGCAUACUGUACUACGACUUGAUCGAAUGUGUCUUCCGCAUACUGUACUACGACUUGAUCGAAUGUGCACAUUCUGUUACAUAUUAAUAUAACUCACUCGGAAGCUUUGAACUGUAACCAUCUAUUCAGUAACUAUGUAUGCAGAUGCGGUAAUAACCCCUGUGGUGCUGCUACUAUAUGCAGUGGAUCAAAUACAGGUCCCUCAGCUGGGACUCAGAGACUCACACCACACAGUGCUGGCAGAAUAUGGUGCUUUCAAGACAACUGGGAACUCAGGGGAAAAAACAAGGUCAAAUCAUGACAUUGUCAUUAGUGUGUGACUAGCUAUGCCCAGCAGAAGAUUUUGUUGAAACUGAUUAGUUUGAUUAAAAUUCCUUUGAGAAUCUCAAGCAUUCAGAGGAAUUAAUAUUUACAUUAUUGAUAUAAAUAAAUGAUGUAUGUUAAUUUAUCAUGACUUUAUUACAAUCAUAAUAUGAAUUAUUAUUUAGCAUUUGAAAGCUUGAUAGAUGAUGGCCUUAUCUGACAUAUUGGGAUUUAGCUCCACCUGCUGUUGUACAUGGACAUGCAUUCUAUUCACCUAGUGUUCAAUGUCAUUGUGCAAUUUAAUAAAAUAUGUGCUGCUGACAA